rnacentral:rRNA from 1 species
UACGGAGGGUGCAAGCGUUAUCCGGAUUCACUGGGUUUAAAGGGUGCGUAGGUGGGCAAGUAAGUCAGUGGUGAAAUCUCCGGGCUUAACCCGGAAACUGCCAUUGAUACUAUUUGUCUUGAAUACUGUGGAGGUCAGCGGAAUAUGUCAUGUAGCGGUGAAAUGCUUAGAUAUGACAUAGAACACCAAUUGCGAAGGCAGCUGGCUACACAAAUAUUGACACUGAGGCACGACAGCGUGGGGAGCAAACAGG